ACUUUCAACAACGGAUCUCUUGGUUCUGGCAUCGAUGAAGAACGCAGCGAAAUGCGAUAAGUAGUGUGAAUUGCAGAAUUCAGUGAAUCAUCGAAUCUUUGAACGCACAUUGCGCCCUUUGGUAUUCCAAAGGGCAUGCCUGUUCGAGCGUCAUUU
rnacentral:rRNA from 6 species